rnacentral:rRNA from 1 species
UACAGAGGUCCCAAGCGUUGUUCGGAUUCAUUGGGCGUAAAGGGUGCGUAGGUGGCGCCGUAAGUCGGGUGUGAAAUUUCGGAGCUUAACUCCGAAAACUGCAUUCGAUACUGCGGUGCUUGAGGACUGGAGAGGAGACUGGAAUUCAUGGUGUAGCAGUGAAAUGCGUAGAGAUCAUGAGGAAGACCAGUGGCGAAGGCGGGUCUCUGGACAGUUCCUGACACUGAGGCACGAAGGCCAGGGGAGCAAACGGG